UGGGGGAUAUUGCACAAUGGGCGAAAGCCUGAUGCAGCAACGCCGCGUGAGGGAAGACGGUUUUCGGAUUGUAAACCUCUGUCUUCGGUGAAGAAAGAAAUGACGGUAGCCGAGGAGGAAGCCACGGCUAACUACGUGCCAGCAGCCGCGGUAAUACGUAGGUGGCGAGCGUUGUCCGGAAUUACUGGGUGUAAAGGGAGCGCAGGCGGGAAGACAAGUCAGCUGUGAAAUAUAUGGGCUUAACCCAUAGACGGCAGUUGAAACUGUUUUUCUUGAGUGGAGUAGAGGCAGGCGGAAUUCCGAGUGUAGCGGUGAAAUGCGUAGAUAUUCGGAGGAACACCAGUGGCGAAGGCGGCCUGCUGGGCUCUAACUGACGCUGAGGCUCGAAAGUGUGGGGAGC
rnacentral:rRNA from 1 species